UACAGAGGGUGCGAGCGUUGUCCGGAAUCACUGGGCGUAAAGGGCGCGUAGGCGGCUUGAUAAGGUUGCGGUGAAAGCCCGGGCUCAACCCCGGGUCGGCCGUGGCAACUGUCGAGCUGGAGCACUGUAGAGGCAGGUGGAAUUCCGGGUGUAGCGGUGGAAUGCGUAGAGAUCCGGAAGAACACCGGUGGCGAAGGCGGCCUGCUGGGCAGUGGCUGACGCUGAGGCGCGACA
rnacentral:rRNA from 1 species